AGUGAACGCUGGCGGUAGGCCUAACACAUGCAAGUCGAACGGCAGCACAGUAAGAGCUUGCUCUUACGGGUGGCGAGUGGCGGACGGGUGAGGAAUACAUCGGAAUCUACUUUUUCGUGGGGGAUAACGUAGGGAAACUUACGCUAAUACCGCAUACGACCUACGGGUGAAAGCAUCGGAUCUUCGGACCUUGCGCGAUUGAAUGAGCCGAUGUCGGAUUAGCUAGUUGGCGGGGUAAAGGCCCACCAAGGCGACGAUCCGUAGCUGGUCUGAGAGGAUGAUCAGCCACACUGGAACUGAGACACGGUCCAGACUCCUACGGGAGGCAGCAGUGGGGAAUAUUGGACAAUGGGCGCAAGCCUGAUCCAGCCAUACCGCGUGGGUGAAGAAGGCCUUCGGGUUGUAAAGCCCUUUUGGUGGGAAAGAAAAGCAGCAGGUUAAUACCCCGCUGUUCUGACGGUACCCAAAGAAUAAGCACCGGCUAACUUCGUG
rnacentral:rRNA from 1 species